rnacentral:rRNA from 1 species
CGCGUAUAGAAUCUACCUUACACUGAGGGAUAGCCUUUGGAAACGAAGAUUAAUACCUCAUAGUAUAUUGACUUGGCAUCAAGAUAAUAUUAAAGGUUACGGUGUAAGAUGACUAUGCGUUCUAUUAGCUAGAUGGUAAGGUAACGGCUUACCAUGGCAACGAUAGAUAGGGGCCCUGAGAGGGGGAUCCCCCACCACUGGUACGUGAGACACGGACCGACGACUCCUACGGGAGGGCAGCAGUGAGGAAGUAAUUGGUACGAAAUAGGAGGGCGAACUACUGAUCCACGCCACUGCCGC